rnacentral:ribozyme from 15 species
AAGAGAAAAGAAAGAAGGUAGGCUCACUGGAAUGUAAGGUCAAUAGUCAGAAAGUGUUUCUUGGAUGUAUCUUUAAUGCUUUUGUAAUUCUAUUGCUUUCUUUAUCUUUUAACGGUUGACGGCAGGUUCUUCACUCUCAUAAUCAAGGGAUCUAAGCUCUGAUAUGUGUUUC